GACGAACGCUGACGGCGUGCUUUAGACAUGCAAGUCGAACGAGAAAGCCCCUUCGGGGGCGAGUAAAGUGGCGAACGGGUGAGUAACACGUGGGCAACCUGCCCCUCGCUCUGGGGAAGUAACCCGGGGAAACCCGGGCUAAUACCCCGUACGCUUGCUGGAUCGCAUGAUCCGGCAAGGAAAGGUAGCUUCGGCUAUCCGGCGAGGGAUGGGCCCGCGGUGCAUUAGCUAGUUGGUGAGGUAACGGCUCACCAAGGCGACGAUGCAUAGCUGGUCUGAGAGGAUGAUCAGCCACACUGGGACUGAGACACGGCCCAGACUCCUACGGGAGGCAGCAGUGGGGAAUUGUUCGCAAUGGGCGCAAGCCUGACGACGCAACGCCGCGUGGAGGAUGAAGACCU
rnacentral:rRNA from 1 species